rnacentral:rRNA from 1 species
UACGGGGGGGGCAAGCGUUGUUCGGAAUUACUGGGCGUAAAGGGCUCGUAGGUGGCCAACUAAGUCAGACGUGAAAUCCCUCAGCUUAACUGGGGAACUGCGUCUGAUACUGGUUGGCUUGAGUGCAGGAGAGGAAUGCGGAAUUCCAGGUGUAGCGGUGAAAUGCGUAGAUAUCUGGAGGAACACCGGUGGCGAAGGCGGCGUUCUGGACUGCAACUGACACUGAACAACGAAAGCCAGGGGAGCAAACGGG